AGACAUGAGAGUGAUUUGGCUGUGAUAUCUAUCACCCCAUUGACCGCCAGGGUUGAUUUGGCUGAUCUGGGUAGGCAGGUGUCCCCUUCCUCCCUCACCAGUCCAUGUAUGUACCUCCCAAAGCUGUGCACUUAGUCAAAGAGGAUGACCAUCCCUGCUAGAGCAGGACCAUUCUUCGAUUAAAGGUAUACAAGUAGUUGCACUCUCCUGCUAGAACCUCCAAACAAACUUUCAAAGGAAAGCAAUCAAUGAAAUUUAAAAGAGAGAAACCAUAAGGAAAAUAAAUGAAGCAAUAGCUGAUUUCUUU
rnacentral:snRNA from 1 species